UCCUGCCGAUGGGAAGGUAGUUACCAGGGAGGCUGUGCUGUACCUGUGCAGACAGGGCGUGCUGUCCCGGGACCAAGCGAAGGUGCCGUCGUGGAUGCUGAUGCAUGUCUCCCCAGCAGCUGCGGGCGGAACGGGGAAAGCCAGCCAAGCCGCGUUUGGUGUCACUUGGUGAUGACAUGAUGGUCACUUGGUGCGAUGGUGAUUCAGUGAUCCUGCCUGGGGAGCUCUCACGGUUCUGAGUGAUGCUUCCUGCCCCUGUUGCCUCAUCCCCGUGCCAGAAGCAGCAACAGUUCCAGAUGCCUGGAACCUUCUACGGGAGAAUGACGGACCUUAUUAGCCACUGCCGCCUUCAGGGGAAUGGUCUAAUUGGUUAGCUAACUCAGCACAAAGCAAGGAUCCCUGGCAGAGAGAAGAAUCCAGGAGAGUCUACGCUCUGCUGAGAGACCAGGUGAGCUCACCAGAAACGUAGACACUUGGAAGGACACCAGAGACACAGAGAAGAGGAGGUUGGAGGUCCUCAAGGCGCCCAGCUCCUGGCCUCGGAUGCUCAGGAUUCUUUCUAGAAAGGCUCCCUCCCAGCCAUGGGACUUGACCGUCUUCAUAUUCCUGAUGAUGCAGCUGAGAGAAGCUCCCCAAGACCAGGGAAGGGGUGGAAGAGUCGGAGCCCUGAACCAGCCUGGGUGUGGUGCCAUCUGGAAGGCUUCCUGGAGUGCCACGUAUCAUUCUGGAAGCUUGAGAUCGCAUCAGUGCGUAUUUCCUCCUGCUGCGAAGGUUCCAGUCUCAAGAAAGAGAGACAGCAAAUGGAAGAGCCAGCCUCAGCUCAGCAGGUGGACUCAAGACCACCUGGGCCACACCAUGCUUGAGCUCAUGUGCGCUUGGUGGAUCAUCCCCCAGACGUGGAUCUGAAACCCAGCGGCCAGGCAGUCUGGGGAG